UACGUAGGGCGCAAGCGUUGUCCGGAAUUAUUGGGCGUAAAGAGCUCGUAGGUGGCUGGUCGCGUCUGCCGUGAAAGCCCGGAGCUCAACUCCGGGUCGGCCGUCGAUACUUCCGGGCUUGAGCACUGUAGAGGCAGAUGGAAUUCCGGGUGUAGCGGUGGAAUGCGUAGAGAUCCGGAAGAACACCGGUGGCGAAGGCGGUCUGCUGGGCAGUUGCUGACGCUGAUGCGCGACAGCGUGGGGAGCAAACAGG
rnacentral:rRNA from 1 species